rnacentral:lncRNA from 1 species
GGAUAGCAUUAGAAAUUUAAAUUAAAUAAAUACCUAAUUUUUUUUAAAAAAGAAAUUAAUUUUUUAAUUUUUAAACAACUUUUCACGGUAUAUUCAUUUCUUUUAUUACAGUCACAAGUUUAAGUUUUGUGUUUAAUGAAAUGAGAAAAUGCUAUUUUUAUACUCAUUUAAUUGUUGUAUUCUGAAAGCAAGACCACUCUGUCUUUUAUUAUACUUGUUAAGUGAAUUAUUACAUUGAAUUCCAAAGAAAGACAGACAGACAAACAGACUAACAGACAGAAAUAUCUGAAGCUCUCUGCAUGUUCUCUUUUGUACCAAACACUACCUCUUACUAUGUGCUUGGCCCUGAAGUUCUUGAACAGUUAGCAUUCGGUGUUGAGGUGAUCAUUGAUAAGUGGGCAAACCAGAAGUCAUUUCAAAUAGCUGUUACCAUAGGCAACCAAAAGCUACCUUGGCACUAAUUACAUGUAAAUCUAUCCUUUGAUAAAUGCUAUUCUUUGAGAUAAAAGGUGAUGAUGCCCACAAAUUAGAACACUUUGACAUCAUUAUGUUUUCUGUGGGGGAAGUUAAUUGAAAUCUGCAAAGGUCAAGAAGUGUUAGUGAGUAAACUUAAUACCAGCUUGCAAAUCUCCAUUUUAUUUUCAUCUCUACCCUUCCUUCCUUUUUAAUCAGCAGUGUGUGACAUUAACCUUCAAGAGCAGCUGAACACUUACAUGAGAUUACAGUUUAUAUCUGUUCACUUGCCUGCAUAAUAUGCAGCCUGCUUCUUAUUUCCGAAAGGCUGUGAUAUAAAUUGAGCAAUUUCAAAGAUGAAAGAAGUAAAUUUUAUUGUCCCUAUAGAUUUCAGUAAUUUAAUUACGAUUGAGCCAUCCUAAAAUGCACUGCCAAAAUAAACAGCAUCUUAUCCCUGUCUCCUUCGUCAGCUGUCAAAAUAAUGCCAGCAUAAAAACAGCAGGGCAUACUCAAGUAGAAACUGUAAAGCACUAUGAGAAAUUGAAUGUUGGUUUGAAGUAAGAGUAGAAUUAGUGCUGUUUAGGAGUUUCACAUUUAGACAUUAAGAGGGACUCAGAAAAAGAGAGGAAAUGUUUGGGAUUGGGACUGUCUCUGGCAGCCCAAACAGCAACAGCCCCAUCUGACAAAAGCCACUGGCCGCCUGGUUCGUUAUGCUUCAAAAGAAGGCAGAAAGCUAGACUUUGUGCAGAAUCUGAUAGGUUAAGGGUUUGGGUAGUUUUGUUAUUUAUAACCACAGUGAGCUUAGGACAAUUUAGGAGCUAUGGAAUGUCAAAGAAGGUUAUAAAGAGACUAUUUCUUUCUUUAGGGAGAGAAAUUUGUCACUUGAUAAAUACUUUUUCUUUUACCAUAUUCAACCUUCUAAGAAUGAAUUAUUUUGUUCCAUGUUUUUGCUUUCCAAAAAUAUCAAAAUCAGCCACAGAUAAAACCUUGUUGCCUGGUGGACUCACCAGUUGAUAUAGAUCUGAAGACAGUGACUUCCCUCUCCUAGAAUCCCACCAUCAGGGAGGUGUUGUGCCUCAAGAGUCCCUCCCCAAUCUAUGACUGGCUGUAGGUAGGUUCUGUCUUGUGUAAACAGCGUUAUCUUUAGCACCUUGGACAGCCAAGUCUGUGCUCACUCACUGCCACCCAUUGUAAAGAGAAGUUUCCUGAACUAAUACCAAAAGCAAUGUACAGUCACCAUUCUGGUAAAGUGUGUCUUUACUCGUGGUGUCUCUAAUUUGCAUUUUCCUGUUGACCAGUGGUGGUGUACACUAUCAAUGUAUGAAGUAGCUAAUUUUUUGUCUUCCUUAUUGUUGGUUUGUUAUUUUAAGAUUUAUUAUUCUUAUUAUUUUAAAUUUUAUGUAUGUGUUGUGCCUGUGAUUGCUGGUAUCCACAAAGACAAGAGGCACAGGAUUUCUUGGAGCUAGAAUUAUGAGCAGUUGUGAGUUGUCUGAUGUGGGUGCUGAGAACCAGACGAGGGUCCUCUGCAGGAGCAGUACACUCCUUUGUUAACUACAAAUCCCUGUCUCCAGCCCCUUGGCUUAGUUUCUCUAUUUUAGUUGAUGGGUUGUGGGUUUUGGUGGGGUGUUUUUCUUUUCAUUUGUUUUGGAAUUUUGAGCCUGGCCAGGAGGUCAUAAUGUUACACAGGCUGACCUCAAGUUCAUUACCCUUCUGCCUAAGUCUCCUGAGUGCUCAAAUUAGAGGCAUUUAUCACCAUACCCAGCACUUGGAAGUCUUUGGAACAGUUUCUAGUCCUUUGCCCAAUUUAAAAAUAGAUUGUGGGGUGGUUAGAUGGAUGACUGGGUAAAGCAUAUCCCAUGUGAGCUAAGAACAGUAGAUCCCUAGAUCUCACACAAAAACCAAGUGGGCACAGUGGCCACCUAUAAUAAUCCCAGAAAGUAGAAGAUAGAAAAAGAAUCUCCUGGCUAGGCAGACUAUAUGAGUGAAAAAUUAUAAAAGACCACUUCCAUUGUUAACCUGUGCCUCCACAUACACCCACAACAUGCACGCAUAUGCAGUAGCUUGUGUCAAGUUAACAUGAACACCAGCCAGAACAAAUUGACUCAUCAUCAACUUGACAUCACUAUUCAACCUUUCUUUUAUUGUCCAUGUCAAGAUCUCAAUAGCAACAUUAUAAUAUAAAACACAGAAAUAACUUACAAACUCCCAGUCUUUACAAAAUCCCAAGUCUCUUGAAAAUUCCCAAGUCUCUACCUGUGGGCUCUUGUAAAAUCAAAACUUAGUUAAAUAUGAUUUUGCUCAACAAUAAAGAACCAAGCACAGUUACAUUCAAAUCAAAGCUUUGUACAACUGUAUAAAUCUCAGUGUCAGACUUCUGAGGCUCACGGUCUUCUAGGCACCAAAAAGCAUGGCCACACGACCCAUAGCUCAUGUCAAAGGCUCAGGGUAGCUCUGCUCCACGGCUGCUGCUGUUCUUAGCAGUUGUGCCAUGGUAUUGACAUCCCUAAAAUGCUGACAUAUUCAAUGUAGCUAGGACGCACCUUCACCAGGAGCCUCUCCUGGGCUUUCUUCUGGGACUCUGAGUCUACCAUAUAGUCCUUGCCUUCUUCCCAUAAUCCCUUCUGUCAUGGGGCUUCUAUGUCAACUAAAGCUGUAUCUUUACCAACAGCCACUCCUAGUCUCUCACAGUGCAAACCUCUACUGCUCUGCUUGACACCUUAAUUCCUUCAAAUCCAGUACCACCUGGGAAACUCCUACAUAUUGCCAAGCUUACUGCCAGCACAAGGUAUAGUCUUGACCCUUAUGAAUCAUAGUUUCUUUGUGCUGACUCAGCAGCAACACUUACCAGUAGAUUUUGCCUCAGUGGUACUAGUUAGUAUCUUCUUAGUUACAACUGAUUUUUCAGGCCCCAUCUGGCCAGUAUCAGUUAUCCCAGAAAAGCAAAGGUUUCAUGUUAGUGGUUCUUAAUUCAAAGUAUUGGAGGGAGUUUGAAAGGUCCCUCUGAAAGUUUAUAGUCCAGGCCUCCAUCUCAGCAUCAUAUCUAAGUGUUCCCACAACAGCUCAUUGCACUCUAAACUCUCUGGCUUUUCUGGCUCAAAGUUCCAGAGUCCUUCUAUAAUCUUUCCUAAAACAUGUCACAUAGUAAUACCCCAACUCCUAAUAAUAAUCUUAGUUACUUUUCUAUUGCUGUGAUAAAAACAGCAUGACCAAAAGCAGCAUGGGCAGGAAUGGGAUUAUUUCAUCUUACAGGUUGUCAUGAUUCCAGAAAGUCGGGGCAGAAACUGAAACAGAAGCCACAAGAGAAUAUGCUUACUAGCUUAAUCCUUCAUGGCUUGAUCAGCAUGUUUUCUUAUAGCACCCAGAACUACCUGGGGCGGGGGGGGGGGCUGGUUGAGGGCACCACUCACUGAGCACUGGUCUCUUUCACAUCCACCAUAAAUCAAGAAAAUGCACCUGCAAGCAGUGUGAUGGGGCAAUUUUAGUUGUGGUUCUUUUCUUCUUGUAUAAUUCUAAUCUUGGUAAGUUGACAUAAAAACUUAUCAGCACAUACUGUUUUCACCAUCUUUGAUGCACAGUCAUUUAAUUUCUAAUGGUGUAGCUUACCUAUUUGCUUUUUCAAAUGAUUUGUUAAUUUAUUUUAGUAUUUGAAUAUAUGUUAGUGUAUCACAUGCAUGCCUAGUGCUUGAGGAGUUCAGAAUAGGUAAUUGAAUCCCCUAUAGUUAUGGCUUGAUAUGAACUGCCAGAUGGGUUCUGGGAAUCAAAGCCCAGCCCUCUGCAAGAGUAACUCUUCCAAACCACUCAGCUAACUCUCCAGCACCCGUUCAUUUGCUGUGUGUGUCAUGUGGGGACAAGGGAGACAAGAUUUAUAAAUUCUUUGCCAAGGGUAUGAUGUCACAUAUUUUUAAUCCCUGCACUGAGGAGGCAAAGACAGGUAGAUGUCUGUGGUUUCUAUGCCAGCCUUGGAUACAUAUUGAGACUCUGUCUCAGG